rnacentral:misc_RNA from 1 species
UCGCAGCCCGACCUGAGUGGAGCUCUUUUUGUCGCAGCGAAGCGGAGACAAAAAAGCGGGAACGGAGGGCGGAUAAAGC